ensembl:lncRNA
GGAUGAUAGCUGUGAGUGCUAUGUAAAAAUGGGAGUAGAAGUAUAAAAGCAGAUAUCACACUCAACAUGAGACUCCAGCUUCCUCCUUUUGAAGUUAAUCUCCAAACAGCUAAACCAGGAAUGGCCAACUGUAGCAGAAGUGCUAAGUCAGGGCUUGAAGCAGUGAUUGAGCAUGUGGUGGGAAAGCUGGGCCAACACAAGCCAGGUCAGAUACAUACAAUACACCUGAGUGACUAGAAGGGGUGGAUGCAGGAUCCACCCCGUCCCAGACCUCAUUUAAGAGUUGGCAGUGGAGGCAAGGCUAUCUUGCUGGAGAUCCCUGAUGUUUUGAGGCCUUUCAAAGGUUUUCCAGAAAUAUGCCUGGUGUGAGUGUGACUGUUUUCUCCCAGACCAUAUUUCCUCUGUUGCCUUGCCAGGGUGCCAAGAGUAAGAACAACUAUUUGGACAUCAUAUAUCAGCGUGUUUGAGGCUUCCAAAAUGUCUCUUGUAAGUGUACCUUCUCUGGGUUAAUAAGUUGACCAAUGUC